UUAUCAUUGUAGAUAUAUUGAAUAAACUUGAGUAAUCUACAAAGAAGCAAGUACUAAAUUCACUAUCAUGUUACACCUAUAACAACCUCCAAAAUUGUUUUAGUGUUAUAAUAGGAGUGUUUCUCAUGGUUGUUUUGUGUUUUUUGUAACUUCAUCUUCCACUGCUUCAACUAUUUCAUCUGCCUUGUUAGUUGAUGGCUUGAUUUCUGGUGAGGACGCUUUUGUUUCCUCCUCCACACCCAUUGACAUCCUUUCAAGAAGUUCUUGGCAAUCGAGAGCAGUGACCAUUACUGAGAUAUUAGCCCUGCCUCUCCAGCAUCCUAUGGCGAUAGUUGAUGGAUCCGCUUGAGCCUCUGACAGCGUCUUAUUUUCUUUGUUCAGAACUACCACACAACAACCCAUCAACAGCUGUGAGGCCUUUUCACCAAAUUCAGCAUCCACAAAAUCACCCAAUUUAAUGCUCUUGUACUGCAGAAGAUGCUUGAAGUCUGUAGGAGAUGCGUAUAAUAUUUGUUUUGUUAUAUGUGGCAGCAUCAAUGGCAAUCCUUCAGACGAUAUGCG
rnacentral:misc_RNA from 1 species